CGACUCUGCAAAACCUAAUUUAUUCGUUCUCGCUUGAUGUUUUCUUGAUUUUUAGUUGAUUGAUUAAUCCCAAUGAGGAAGCGAACCCAAAAGAUAGUUUUUUUUUCCAAUCCGAAUGUUAUGAUUUGUAGGCUCCAACAUGAUUGAUAUUGAAAUUUUGGUAUGGCGUUUGGUGGUUUUGCUGUGUUGGUCUAGAUCACUAAGGUCACCAAGGUAAAACAUGGAAGUGAAUUGGUGGUGGGUAUUGUAGUGCUUGUAGAGGUGCCUGGUGAAUUUAACGAGACUGGAGUCUAAUAACGGCACCACAUUUUCUGAGUUGAGAUUCUUGACUAAAAACUUCAUUUAAUUUCCUUGUUUCACCAAGGAUAUAUUUGUUGUUAGCAUAUGUUCUUUAUUACUCUGCACUCUGCUCAUAAAGAAAUUUUGGGAAAA